AUGAAUAUACUCUCAGGGAUCAUUUCUGCAGUUCAUUACUAGAGAAGUUUCUCUGAUUCUGCAGAGCACCCGAAACCAUGAGAGGAGCCAGGGAUCAUCUCCUGGGCAUGAAACCUGUUCUAGGUGUUGCUUUUACAGCUGCCUUUUACCAUUUAUGAUCAUUCUUCUCUUCCCUAGGAGAGGGUGAGGAUGCAUUCUGAG
rnacentral:snoRNA from 1 species